UUGAACUGAAGAGUUUGAUCAUGGCUCAGAUUGAACGCUGGCGGCAGGCCUAACACAUGCAAGUC
rnacentral:rRNA from 1 species